rnacentral:rRNA from 1 species
ACGCACGCUGGCGGCGUGCUUAACACAUGCAAGUCGAACGGAAAGGCCCUGCUUUUGUGGGGUGCUCGAGUGGCGAACGGGUGAGUAACACGUGAGUAACCUGCCCUUGACUUUGGGAUAACUUCAGGAAACUGGGGCUAAUACCGGCUAGGAGCUCCUGCUGCAUGGUGGGGGUUGGAAAGUUUCGGCGGUUGGGGAUGGACUCGCGGCUUAUCAGCUUGUUGGUGGGGUAGUGGCUUACCAAGGCUUUGACGGGUAGCCGGCCUGAGAGGGUGACCGGCCACAUUGGGACUGAGAUACGGCCCAGACUCCUACGGGAGGCAGCAGUGGGGAAUAUUGCACAAUGGGCGGAAGCCUGAUGCAGCAACGCCGCGUGCGGGAUGACGGCCUUCGGGUUGUAAACCGCUUUCGCCUGUGACGAAGCGUGAGUGACGGUAAUGGGUAAAGAAGCACCGGCUAACUACGUG